GCCGUCGUCAGCUCGUGUCGUGAGAUGUUUGGUUAAGUCCAGCAACGAGCGCAACCCCUGUUGCCAGUUACCAGCACGUGAAGGUGGGGACUCUGGCGAGACUGCCCAGAUCAACUGGGAGGAAGGUGGGGACGACGUCAGGUCAGUAUGGCCCUUAUGCCCAGGGCUGCACACGUACUACAAUGCCCAGUACAGAGGGGGCCGAAGCCGCGAGGCGGAGGAAAUCCUAAAAACUGGGCCCAGUUCGGACUGUAGGCUGCAACCCGCCUACACGAAGCCGGAAUCGCUAGUAAUGGCGCAUCAGCUACGGCGCCGUGAAUACGUUCCCGGGUCUUGUACACACCGCCCGUCACAUCAUGGAAGCCGGUCGCACCCGAAGUAUCUGAAGCCAACCGCAAGGAGGCAGGGUCCUAAGGUGAGACUGGUAACUGGGAUGAAGUCGUAACAAGGUAGCCGUAGGGGAACCUGCGGCUGGAUCACCUC
rnacentral:rRNA from 1 species